CCUACGGGAGGCUGCAGUGAGGAAUAUUGGUCAAUGGUCGGGAGACUGAACCAGCCAAGCCGCGUGAGGGAUGAAGGUACAGAGUAUCGUAAACCUCUUUUGUCAGGGAACAAAGGCGGGGACGUGUCCCCGGAUGAGUGUACCUGAAGAAAAAGCAUCGGCUAACUCCGUGCCAGCAGCCGCGGUAAUACGGAGGAUGCGAGCGUUAUCCGGAUUUAUUGGGUUUAAAGGGUGCGCAGGCGGUCUGUUAAGUCAGCGGUCAAAGUCCGGGGCGCAACCCCGGCCCGCCGUUGAAACUGGCAGUCUCGAGUUGGAGAGAAGUAUGCGGAAUGCGCGGUGUAGCGGUGAAAUGCAUAGAUAUCGCGCAGAACUCCGAUUGCGAAGGCAGCAUGCCGGCUCCACACUGACGCUGAGGCACGAAAGCGUGGGUAUCGAACAGGAUUAGAUACCCCAGUAGUC
rnacentral:rRNA from 1 species